rnacentral:misc_RNA from 1 species
AUUGACUUGUUCCGGAUCGAGAUGUUCGUUCCCAGUUUUGGGGUCAGUAACUUCAGUUUCGGGAUUGGCUCUUUGGCGGCUGGCCCUUUAACAAGCGUCGUGUCAGAUCUGGUCCAAAACGCCGACUUUCCCUUCUACACGGCAGGAGUGGCAAUGUUCCUUGGGGCCGCGGUCCUAUUAUUCACCAAAGUCCGACAUUCACUUAGUAUACAAAAACCGGUGAUGAAGAAGCCCUCCAGUGAUGACGUUUACGCCUUGAGUAACACGUCAUCGAUUGGGGCACCUGCUGCAUAACGCUAUACUUUCGUUCUAGAGAGAAAAUCGGCUUAUGUAAUCAAAUGUGAAUAUUAAACGUAACAUUUUGAUUUGAAAUUGUGAAACAUGUAAGAUGAAAAUGGUUCUAAAAUUUCAUGAAUUCGAACUGAUUUGUAUAAUCGUGAGUUUUAUUUAUGUAUGUCAAUAAAACAACUUACCUUAUAAUAAACAGAGAUUUGUUUUAUUACAAAACAU